AUGCAUACAGUUUUCAUACUUCCUACUUUAAACCCAACCAAAAACAGUUACAAAAAUCCCAUUAAAAACAUACAUCAACCCCAACAAAUAGAAUGAUAUCAUUUUAAACCCAAAAAAAGAACUCAACCAAAAGUAAUUUAAAUUACUUUGAACUUGCCUAUCAAACACUAUUAUUGAUGAUUAGUUUGAAUUUAGUUGUAAAACAUUAAUACUAAACGUUACUUUUACCUUCACAAUAUAAAAAAAAACACAAGUUUUCAGAGUGAAAACACAGGCAACAUAUUACUCAAAAGAGUCAAAAUCAAAGCUGCAUUUGACUCAAAACAAAAAAACAUUUUUCCUUUAAACUCACAAUUGAAUACAGGGUAUAAAGAAAGGGACAUAUAUGCUUACACAAUACCUUUUUCCUUUGAAUCCAAGUGGAAAAUUCUAAAUUUCCUACAAUAUAGUUUAAAAGGAACUUACUAAGAUUUUUUAGGAUUGAAUGGGUACGGAUCAAAACAGAAGCGGAGGCAUUUUAAUGUUAUCUUCAGACUUAUAUACAUACCCGUAGGCCUGAAAGAAUCCGAAUUCAAAAAGCAUUGGGUGUAAUAGUUUGUAAUAGAGCAUACCUGAACAUCAUGUAAAAUGGUUUGCAUCAGACAUGAAGGGUUACAAAGAUAAACAUUGAAUAUCCUAAUCUCCUAUUUGCAUUACCCAAGCAGCACCUAAAGAUAUUCAAUAGUAUAAACAUGGCAGAGUGCUCAGUUUUUUAAUAAUUUCUAGUCUCCCAACCUGGUAAGCCAAAGAAAGGGAAAAUUAGUAAUUUCAACAACAAACUAAAGAGAAAACUGGUUAUCAUGAAUGAUUCAAUCGUAUAUUAGCAACCAACAUCAUUCUUGGUCAUAAAAGAUCCGUAUAUAAAUAAAAAAAAAUGCAGAAAUAGAAACAUAUAUGCAAAAAAUGCAUAAAUUUAGAAAUAACAACAUACUCAAAACUUUAGGUUAGAACUUGCAGAAGAAUGUGAAAUAGAAAACUUGAAGACUCUGCCACAGCCACAAACAUAUACAGUUAUAUGCACACCAAUUCAUUGUUUUCUUCAAAAUGACCAAUAUACCCCUUACUCAUUCCCUGCUACAUCCACACUCCCCUGCCACAAGUCAACCACGUACAGAUAAAGUCAAAUGCACAUACACCCACAUCCACGUUUAUAUGAAAUCAAAUACCAGAUCGUAAUCACAAAACCAAGGGAAAAGAUAAACAAAAUCAAGAAAUACUAAUUCUACAUGCUGAUCGUUUCUAUUGAUCGAUCUCUAUAAAACUCUACAUAAAAUCAAGAAUUGGACCAUCAAUAUCAGAUAAUAUUGCAACAUUUUCUUUUCCAAAAAGAUUGAAGUUAAAAAUUAACUAAAGUUAAAAAUAAAGAAUGGGGAAAACCCAAAAUCAAACAAACAAAAACAAUAAAAACAACAAAGAGAUGAAGAAAUACAUGCCUGACAAAAUCUUUGGCAACGAAUCACAUUUUCAAUAUGCAAGGUUGGUGCAGAAAUUUUAUUCACCUGUAAAUCAAUAUAAAAAUGCUUUAUUUCUCUUUCAAACCAAACAUCACUGAAGGUUAUUGACAGGGCCAAGAUUCGGAACCUGGAAACACAAACAAACAAAUACAAUUAAAAAGAGAAGGGGGUUGUGUGCGGUGGUGCAAUAGUUGGGUAAGAUUUGAUUUAUUCUUACCUAGAUAUGGACAGAUAUAGAGAGAGGGUCGAGAUUUAGGACCUGUAAUCACAAACACACACAUACACAGUUAAAGAGAUACAUAGAACUAUAUAGCUUAGUUAAACAGAUGUAUAGAACUCUAUAGCCUAUUUUCUGUGACUUCUUGUUUAGAUCUUCGGUUUAUUAGAGAGAAGGGGGUUGUGUGCGGUAAUGCAAUUGGUGGUAAUAGGUGGCAACAGUGGGGUUUAUGAAAGAUGGGAAAGGGAAAUCAAAAUUGGAAUCAAUGUGAGUGGUGAUGGUUAUUCGGGUCACUAUGGUUAGAUUUCGUAAUUGAACACAGUGAAAAUGAUGACGAUGCUUAUGGUUGAAGGUAGUGAUGAUGGUGGUGUCGUUUGGCUCAAACUUUGAAUAAACGGUGAGAGAUGGCAAGAG
rnacentral:lncRNA from 1 species